rnacentral:rRNA from 1 species
UACAGAGGGUGCAACCGUUGCUCGGAAUUAUUGGGCGUAAAGCGCACGUAGGCGGCUUGUUAAGUCGGAUGUGAAAGCCCCGAGCUCAACUCGGGAAGUGCAUUCGAAACUGGCGAGCUUGAGUAUGGAAGAGGGUCGCGGAAUUCCCGGUGUAGAGGUGAAAUUCGUAGAUAUCGGGAGGAACACCAGUGGCGAAGGCGGCGACCUGGGCCAAUACUGACGCUGAGGUGCGAAAGCGUGGGGAGCAAACAGG